CCCCCUUGUAAUGGCCAAAGAGACACCUUGCUGGUGGUGGUGUUCUUAUAUCAGUCAGGGCAGAGCAGAUGGCAGUCCUAUGUUCAUCCUAGCUUGAUGCCUAGCUUGGCGGCCAAAGCUGUCUUAUGCCUAGGACUCAUAA